UUCAGGGGUGCACUCCUGCUGAAUUUUGGGGCAACUUAUAUGGAAUGCCAAUCCUAAUAAAAACACGACUAAUCUAGAACACUUGCUGUAUAUUCCAUGUCACUUCUUAUCUAAAUAAAGUAUUAUUUCUGAUCCUGUGAAAUUCCUGCUUGAAUUCAUCUUUUGUUGCAAACUUCUUUAGAAAGUAGAAAUCAACUAUCGUUUCUAACUUUUGAUGCAUUGAUGAUCUAAAAAAAUAUGUUUUUUUUUUUUUUCUAAUUUUUUAUUUUUAUGGGAUAUGAUUGUAGGAUGUGCAUUUCCAAUAUAUAAACUGUAAGUUGCAGCUAUCUUUGUGUUAUCUACUAAAAAAUUUCAGCAAAAUUUUAUUUUGUCAUCCAUAGAUUUUUCUCCUCCUCCAAGUCAAUCCAUUGGUCAUAGGGAAAUCAACUUGGACAAGUAAAAUUUCUAAUUUCUCCAAUUUUAAGUGAUUCUUUUUAUAUUAUUUUGAUUUGGGUCAUUGUCUAUUUUGAAUUUCUCAUUUGGGUUUUUUUCAUUUUACUUGAUUUUUUUUUUUCAGUUCAUGCAUUAAUUGCUGGUUGUUGGAUUUUAUCAUUUUACUUGGAUGGUUUAUUAUUAUUUUGAUGUGAAUGUUUGGAUGUGUUGUCAAAACAAAUUGCAAUUAUUUGUACUUAUAAACUGAAAUGACCAAAUUGUAAUUUCAUUGCUUCUAAAUAUACACUUCAAGUCAUGAUGUAUUGUUUGGGUGUUGAUUAUGUCAGAAAAAUGAAUUUAAAACAUUGACUUUUGUUUUCUUAAAUUGCAGAUUUAGUUGCAUAAGCAGGCAAUAUAAGUACCUUUUCUGGAAAGAAAAUCUGCAUGUAUCGGUAUGCAAUGGAUAAAUCUGGAUAUAUCUUCCAAACAAACUCACAUGAAUACGAGGAAACUAUGAACAAACCCACCAUAUCCUGAAACGUCACAAAGGAAGAUGGACCUGUAAGCAUGAUUUUCACCAUACUAAUGUAUAAUGCUUCAAAGCUUCAGGAUUUUAAUCAAUUGUGCCUAAAUUUAGGCUUACACUUCAGCCUUUUGACGCCACUUUUGCUAGGAGUAUGCCAUAUAGAGGAUUUAUUUAUAAUUCAAGACCAUUUUCAAUUUAUUGUAAUAAAUAUUAUAUUUUUUUAUUGUGUAGUAAUAUAAAUUCUGUUUAAUAUUCAGUUUUAAUUAUAUUGCAACAUUUUUUGUUUCAAAUAUUAAAAAAAUGCAGGUUUCAAUAGAAUUAUAUAUAAUUAAAAAAAAUUACUGGAC